rnacentral:rRNA from 1 species
UACGGAGGAUGCGAGCGUUAUCCGGAUUUAUUGGGUUUAAAGGGUGCGUAGGCGGGAUGCCAAGUCAGAGGUAAAAAUGCGGUGCUCAACGCCGUCGAGCCGUUGAAACUGGCGUUCCUGAGUGGGCGAGAAGUAUGCGGAAUGCGUGGUGUAGCGGUGAAAUGCAUAGAUAUCACGCAGAACUCCGAUUGCGAAGGCAGCAUACCGGCGCCCUACUGACGCUGAGGCACGAAAGCGUGGGUAUCGAACAGG